rnacentral:rRNA from 1 species
UACGGAGGGUGCAAGCAUUAAUCGGAUUUAUUGGGCGUAAAGGGCGCGUAGGCGGGUAGAUAAGUCAGAUGUGAAAUCCCGGGGUUCAACCCCGGAACAGCAUAUGAAACUACCGAUCUAGAGGGUAGGCGGAGAAAAUAGAAUUCCACAAGUAGCGGUGAAAUGCGUAGAUAUGUGGAAGAAUACCGGUGGCGAAGGCGAUUUUCUAGCUUAUACCUGUCGCUGAGGCGCGAAAGCACAUGGAUCAAACAGG